AGCGUGGAGCUGAAGCAGGGAAGGCCACGCUCAUGUGCCUGGCCAACAAGGGCUUCCCCUCAGACUGGAGUCUGGCCUGGAAGGUGGACGGCAGCAGCAGCAGCAGCAGCAGCAGCUGGGAGGAGAGCAGCAGCCCCGGGGUGCUGGAGAAGGACGGCCGCUACAGCUGGAGCAGCACCCUGAGGCUCCCUGCAGACCAGUGGAAGAAGGUGGGCUCUGUGACCUGUGAGGCCACCCAGGGCUCCCAGACUCUGGUCUCAGAGACACUGACGAGAGACCAGUGUUCCCUGUUCUGACCUGACUCACUUGGACCCUGCUACUGGUUUUACUCUGCAACUGCUCUCUCUCUGAAACACUCUCUCCCUCUCCCUCUCCCUCUCUCUGUCCCUCUCCCUCUCUCUCUCUUUCUCUCAUUAUACAUCUCUACAUUAAUGUGCUCUUUCUUGUUGUAUUGAUGAUGGUUUUAAUAGUUCUAGAAAAUAAAUAUUUCUUCAAAUA